AUGGUAAGAUAGCUUCUCCUGUCUUACUGCAGGAAGUCCUCAUCCCUGAGAUGAAGUGGAGAAAGGUAUGCCCUUCCUCCAGGUCCCUGUCUCUCCCAGACAACAUCCCUUGUAUCCCUCCAUCAUCCGUGGACUCCACAGACAGUUUCUUCCCCUCCAGGAAGCCUCCAAUGUCUGAAAAGUCAAGAGCCCAAGUAGCUUCAGAAAAUGGUGGGAGGUGGGCAUGGCCCAUGCCAGGCUGGGGUCCUGCCUGCCCUAAGAAGAUGCCGAACUGCUCUCCCACUGCAAAGAAUGCUGUCUAUGAGGAGGAUGAGCUGGAGGAGGAGCCCAGGAGCACUGGGGAGCUGAGGCUCUGGGAUUACCGGCUCCUCAAGGUCUUCUUUGUGCUGAUCUGCUUCCUGGUCAUGUCCUCAUCCUACCUGGCGUUCCGUAUUUCUCGGCUAGAGCAGCAGUUAUGCUCCUUGAGUUGGGAUGACCCAGUCCCUGGGCACAGGUAACAGCCACUUGGCCUUUGUCCCCAUUCCUUCUCCAAGAAGAAUGUUCUGGGUGCUAAGUCUCCACCAAUGAUCCCUGUGGUUUAUGCUGCUGCUGUGCUAAGACUGCCUAUGAAGGAAAAUAUUCCAGAUCCCUCCUCCUCCCCGCAGCUCUUCUCUUCCCUCUAUGAGAGAUCUGAAGUACGUGUUUACAAAGUAACUGGCUUCUACAAUUUUUGGACUCAAGCAAAAAGCCAGAUUUUUUGGAACCAACUGAGGAAUUCUGUACACAAAGCUUCAGCAAACACUUAGAGAAAACAAACAAACAAACAAACUGGGUCCUUGGAAACAGUUCUGGCACACAGGCAGAACACUGGAGGCCACCUCAAAGGACAGAGGCCAUGCUUUCGCAUUUGGAAUGUGGCUCUGCCACACAGCUCACUCCUAUGGUGGGGUCAGAGGUCAGAACACAAACCACCCAUGUGGGCUCUGCUCCCUCCCAACACUCUGUGUUCCCACAGGGCUUCUCUGCGGGCAGCCAGGCACCUGUC
rnacentral:lncRNA from 1 species